GCCGCAUCUGCCCUGAAGUCUUUGUAUUGUCUUUUCAAGUAACCACCAACUUCAAAGGGUGGGCCGUGCCGCAGUGGUAACAAAACCACAUCUCUAUUCUCCUUCUUCUUCUCCUUCUCCUUCUCCGGUAGUUCUCCCUAUCCCGACGUGCCAGUUCUCAUCUCAGGUGAACACUGAAAAUUACUUGAAAUUAAACACGUUAUCAGCGAUGGUUUGUUGUUGUAGGGUUCAAAAAUUUCUUGAGAAAACCAGGUUCUGUGUUGGAGUUUGGGGGCUUUCCUGCUUCUCUAGAAGAGACUUUGGUUUUGAAGGUAUGAUACUAAUGACAGUGGUUCUUUAUGCUUUGGUUACUUAUUGGUGGAGCAGAAAGUGGGGGAAAUGUCUGCCCCAUAAAGGAGGGAUAUGAAAAGGCCAGUUAGAUAUUCUACACAUUAGAUAUUCACAGCAUGCUGUUCCAAAUUUUCUGUAGAUUGGGUAUUACUAAAUAUCAUGACUGAGGUGUUAAAGGAGCCUAUCUAUGAUGCAUCUGUUUGUUGUUUCCACUGGUGGAGGGGCUGUUAUAAGGCCCAUCAAUUGGUAUUUGUUUCGGAUGUUCCAUAACAAAACUGUCAUUGAAGGUUGUCUUUUCUGUUUACACGAAGUUUGGUGUUAAUAUUUAUUAUAUGUUUUAUUACUACCAGGAAACAUAUACGAAGUGGUAUUAGGUUUUGGUUAGAUGUACCAGUGGAGUGGUAUUAGUACAAACUGAGCAUCAUCCUUCAAGGAGGGAAUUUUAUUUUAAUAUGAGCAUGAUUUUCUCCUUGUCCAAAUAUUCUUGCUACUCUAUAACAACCUGUUUUGCAGUGGCCUUAUAUGAUUCGUUCUAACUUCUAUACUGUUUUCUUUGCAGAUGUCACGUCGGAACAUAGAUAAUCUUAGUCCAACUGAUAUUGCAAUUGAUCGAGGUGCUUGUACAAAUUGAAAGCUUCCUUGAAGGAUGAUGCUUCGCCAUAUAAAAUCUGCGUAUAACGCACAAAAUAUCACAAAUUGGACGUUGUUGGAUUUCUAGCUAAGCACUAAGCAGGCACCUGUGUAGUUCUCUUUGUCUACUGCGAUAUAAAGAAGUGAUGCACGAUACCGUGUAAAAAGAACAGGGGUUUCCAUCAUUGGUGGUUUUUGAAGAAGCCACCAAUGUUGGUAGUUUUUUUUUUAGAGGUGGUUCUUUUUUGACGGGUAGAGGAGGUUCUUGAGUGUAUUUUGUUGAGAUACAUUUGAGAGUUAGUUGGAGAGCUCUCACUAAUAUAUAUGAUUUAAGAUAAAGAUAGUCAACACCAAUUUUUGCCCGAACAACAAAGGGAAUUACAUUGUGAUUUGUGAAUAGUAUUAUGUGUAUUGCCAUGUAAGAUUGUACAAGCUCAUUAGUUAUUGAAUAUUGAGUGUAAGUUGCUGAAUCUAUACUACAAAAAAAAUUGGUCGAGAAUUCUACAAAACACUUUGGUCGAUGCGUGUUCUUUCUAAGUGGAAACUUUUCCUUUGGAAGCUUCUUCAUAACGGCAUUGCGACUAAGUCAAAUCUUGGGAGACGGGGGUUGCAAAUUCCAACUACUUGUGAUUUAUGUGAAAGCGGGGAGGACGAUAUGCAACAUAUUUUUAGAUUAUGUGUGAUCUUUCACAACAAGUGUGGAGGGGUGGAGCACUACAAAUCCACUCAAAAGACAAUGAAGAGUUUUCAGGAAUGAAGCAACAACGUUGUCUGUAGUUCAAGCUCGAAUUGAUCAGGCUCAACAACAACAUUACACUAUGAAACAACAUGUUCAACCAUUCUUGAGGUUUCUUCACCCUCCAAAGACCGAAGUUCCUUAUCCUCUGGGUUUCCAUAGGGUUAUCAUCAAGGGUAAUGAAUUACUAGGAGAUAUUACAAACAUUGUGGUAGAUGGAGCUUGGCACAAGGAUACUAGAAAUGCAGGUAUGUGUUGGUACUUAGACGAACAACCAACGAGAACGACAAUCCUGGGAGGUGCACAAACUGGAUCAGCUGCUUCUGCUUUACAAAUAAAAGCAAAUGCAUGCCUUUUGGGUCUUCAAUGGGCUUCGCAAGGUGAGUACCACAGAGUUACGAUCCUCACAUAUUCAAAGAGACUUAUUGACUUGCUUCAACAAGUAGAUGUCUUAGAUAUGCAACUAAAAUGGACGCUUGAGAAGACCAAAAUGAUUGGCAUGACAUUUGAUUGGUGCUGCAUCAAUAAUGUUAAUCAUGAAAGAGUUCACCAAGCACAUAUCCUUGCAAAAGCGGCUUCGACUUUUAUUAUGUCUUUUAAUAAUUUUCCUUAGUUUGUUUCUUUAAGCUUAUAUAUAAAAAGAAAAGACAAGAAAAUUUGCAUGCA